GCGCCUGUAGCUCAGUUGGAUAGAGCACUACCCUCCGAAGGUAGAGGAAUCAGGUUCAAAUCCUGUCAGGCGCA
rnacentral:tRNA from 1 species